rnacentral:lncRNA from 1 species
GGAGGAGAUGGCGGCGACGGCGCGGGAAGAUGGCGUCCGCAACCUGGCGCAGGGGCCGCGGGGCUGCGAGCACUAUGACAGAGCUUGUCUCCUCAAGGUGACGACUUUAGAGGGUACCUCCUCGAUGAGCUGCGGUCGGGUCUGGCAAGGGCAGGUUGGGCAGAAGCUUCAGACCGAGCUGCUUGUCAGGAUACCUGCCAUCUGGAGUUGGGCUCUCCUUGCAGGAAACGUUUUGGCAAGGCGAGCAGGAGCUCUGUACUCGAUCGCCGCUGCAAGCCAAGUUCUUGUUUGUAAAGACUUGGCCCUUGCUUAAAUUCACCUCCCUUGUGGGUUUAUCCGUCAUUUGCGGUUGACAGUAGAAUGAGGAAGUGAAAGGGCCUUGGCAUUUCUGUCAAGUGCGUAUGAUGCAGUGAUGAAAGCAUAAGCAAGGGAAGAAUCAGAAUAUAAUUUCUGUACGUGUAGGAAGUUUAUAGUAUGGCUUGUCAGCUUCAUUUUUUUGUCUAGGAAUAUGCCCAGACCUGUCCAGGAGAAAAUGUCUGUGUGAAGUGAGAGUUGGGUGAUUGCCAUUAAGUUGGAUAUUGGAGGAGUGCCUAAUACAUAUAUGCUGUCAUUUUUCCUGCUUGAGACGUUCUAGUCAUCUAGAGUUUUUAAAAAUGACUCUCACACAGUUAAGACUUACCUGAUUUUUUUUUUUAAGAAGCAGUUUUAAUAUUUUGUUGAGAAAGCCUGAGAUUUGAGCUGGGGUUAUAACUCAGCCUUAGAAUUGAGUUUAUAAUGCUGAAGGCCUUGGCUUCAGUCUUCAGAAGUCGCCUCCCACUGAGAAGAAACUUUGACUCUUGGAAUCCUAUAGCUUUCCCUUCAUAGUUUAGAUUGUCCUUAACUUGCUGUGUAAUUUGGAGCAAGCUACUUUUUAAAGAGCUUGCAUAUAAAAUAUACAAGUUUGGAAGCUGGUCUUAGUGGUAAAGGCCUGUAGCUCCAGGAGAUGCAUACUUCCAGCUAUUUGUGAAGCAGAGGCAGAAGGAAUACCAGCCAGGAGAUGCUAAUGC